AGAGUUUGAUCCUGGCUCAGAUUGAACGCUGGCGGCAUGCUUUACACAUGCAAGUCGAACGGCGGCGGGGGCUUCGGCCUGCCGGCGAGUGGCGAACGGGUGAGUAAUGCAUCGGAACGUGCCCAGUCAUGGGGGAUAACUACGCGAAAGCGUAGCUAAUACCGCAUACGCCCUGAGGGGGAAAGCGGGGGAUCGCAAGACCUCGCGUGAUUGGAGCGGCCGAUGUCGGAUUAGCUAGUUGGUGGGGUAAAGGCCUACCAAGGCGACGAUCCGUAGCGGGUCUGAGAGGAUGAUCCGCCACACUGGGACUGAGACACGGCCCAGACUCCUACGGGAGGCAGCAGUGGGGAAUUUUGGACAAUGGGGGCAACCCUGAUCCAGCCAUGCCGCGUGAGUGAAGAAGGCCUUCGGGUUGUAAAGCUCUUUCAGACGGAAAGAAAUCGGGCGGGUGAA
rnacentral:rRNA from 1 species